AAUCAACGUUGGCGGCGCGCCUAACACAUGCAAGUCGAACGAGAAAGUGGAGCAAUCCAUGAGUAAAGUGGCGUACGGGUGAGUAACACGUGGGUAAUCUACCUCUUGGUGGGGAAUAACGCUGGGAAACUGGCGCUAAUACCGCAUAAGUUCGUAAGAAGAAAGUCGCAAGACGCCGAGAGAGGAGCCCGCGGCCGAUUAGCUAGUUGGUAGGGUAAAAGCCUACCAAGGCUAUGAUCGGUAGCCGGCCUGAGAGGGCACACGGCCACACUGGCACUGAAACACGGGCCAGACUCCUACGGGAGGCAGCAGUGGGGAAUCUUGCACAAUGGGGGAAACCCUGAUGCAGCGACGCCGCGUGAGUGAUGAAGCCCUUCGGGGUGUAAAGCUCUUUCGACAGGAACGAUAAUGACGGUACCUGGAGAAGAAGCUGCGGCUAACUACGUGCCAGCAGCCGCGGUAAGUGCGACGACA
rnacentral:rRNA from 1 species